CCUGGCUCCGUAUGAACGCUAGCUACAGGCUUAACACAUGCAAGUCGAGGUGCAGCAUGGUCUUAGCUUGCUAAGGCCGAUGGCGACCGGCGCACGGGUGAGUAACACGUAUCCAACCUGCCGUCUACUCUUGGACAGCCUUCUGAAAGGAAGAUUAAUACAAGAUGGCAUCAUGAGUCCGCAUGUUCACAUGAUUAAAGGUAUUCCGGUAGACGAUGGGGAUGCGUUCCAUUAGAUAGUAGGCGGGGUAACGGCCCACCUAGUCUUCGAUGGAUAGGGGUUCUGAGAGGAAGGUCCCCCACAUUGGAACUGAGACACGGUCCAAACUCCUACGGGAGGCAGCAGUGAGGAAUAUUGGUCAAUGGGCGAGAGCCUGAACCAGCCAAGUAGCGUGAAGGAUGACUGCCCUAUGGGUUGUAAACUUCUUUUAUAAAGGAAUAAAGUCGGGUAUGGAUACCCGUUUGCAUGUACUUUAUGAAUAAGGAUCGGCUAACUCCGUGCCAGCAGCCGCGGUAAUACGGAGGAUCCGAGCGUUAUCCGGAUUUAUUGGGUUUAAAGGGAGCGUAGAUGGAUGUUUAAGUCAGUUGUGAAAGUUUGCGGCUCAACCGUAAAAUUGCAGUUGAUACUGGAAAUCUUGAGUGCAGCUGAGGCACGCGGAAUUCGUGGUGUAGCGGUGAAAUGCUUAGAUAUCACGAAGAACUCCGAUUGCGAAGGCAGCCUGCUAAGCUGCAACUGACAUUGAGGCUCGAAAGUGUGGGUAUCAAACAGGAUUAGAUACCCUGGUAGUCCACACGGUAAACGAUGAAUACUCGCUGUUUGCGAUAUACGGCAAGCGGCCAAGCGAAAGCGUUAAGUAUUCCACCUGGGGAGUACGCCGGCAACGGUGAAACUCAAAGGAAUUGACGGGGGCCCGCACAAGCGGAGGAACAUGUGGUUUAAUUCGAUGAUACGCGAGGAACCUUACCCGGGCUUAAAUUGCAGAUGAAUUACGGUGAAAGCCGUAAGCCGCAAGGCAUCUGUGAAGGUGCUGCAUGGUUGUCGUCAGCUCGUGCCGUGAGGUGUCGGCUUAAGUGUCAUAACGAGCGCAACCCUUGUUGUCAGUUACUAACAGGUUCCGCUGAGGACUCUGACAAGACUGCCAUCGUAAGAUGUGAGGAAGGUGGGGAUGACGUCAAAUCAGCACGGCCCUUACGUCCGGGGCUACACACGUGUUACAAUGGGGGGUACAGAGGGCCGCUACCACGCGAGUGGAUGCCAAUCCCCAAAACCUCUCUCAGUUCGGACUGGAGUCUGCAACCCGACUCCACGAAGCUGGAUUCGCUAGUAAUCGCGCAUCAGCCACGGCGCGGUGAAUACGUUCCCGGGCCUUGUACACACCGCCCG
rnacentral:rRNA from 1 species